rnacentral:lncRNA from 1 species
CUGGAACAAGUUUCAUAUCAGAAGGAUAAAUUGUGCAGGAGCAGAAGACUCCACUGUGUAGGGACUUCAAGGAUCCCAAACGGACGUGCGAGGUCAGCGGGGCAGGCUGCAGAUGCUGCCUUCCAGCCACGUAGCGCACACGAGGAAUCAGAGACCAGCAAAGGCCCCAGUGUCACUGAAGUGCUAACGAAGUGCAGUGUGAGAAGCUGAACACACGCUUCCAGGGCGUCUGGGAUCACAGCCAAGCGUAAGGAUCCGAUCAAUCCACACUUUCAGUGUCUCUGAUGUACACCAACCAUUCCAUGAUGACUGCAUUCAAAACUAUCACCUCAACGUAAGCCUCUGCA